rnacentral:lncRNA from 1 species
AAAUUUGCAAAUUGCACACGACCUUCAAAAUUAGCCCCAGAAUACACCACCUUUCGAUUUAAUUGUAAUUUGCACAUGCGUUGACCAUCAUCUUAAACGUUGUUGACGUGGCAGUCGGAAAUUGCAGACGUGGACUAACCGCCGGGCAUGUAAAACGACGUCGUUUAAUCAAGUUUUUCUAAAUAAAAAAAACGUUGCUGCACCCCGCCUCCUUUCUGCUCUCUCUCUCUCUCUCUCUCCACACAGAGACGCCACUCCCUUCUUCCUCACCGGCGUUGCCGGCGUCGUCACCGGCGUCGUCGCCUCUCCCUUCUCUCGCCUCUCACCCUCCCUCUGUAACACACCCAC